AGAGUUGUGAUCCUGGCUCAAAACGAACAUUGACGAGCGAAGGAUUAGGCAUGCAAAUCGUACGCGAACGUCACCUUCGGGUGGCUAGUAGAGCGGCGUACGGGUGAGUAACACGUGGGGAAUCUGCCCUCGAAUUGGGGAUAACGCUCCUAACGGGGUGCUAAUACCGAAUAAUACGAUCAGGUCGCAUGACCUGGUCGUCAAAGCCGGCCUCUUCAUGAAAGCUGGCACUUGAGGAUGACCCCGCGCCCCAUUAGCUUGUUGGCGGGGUAACGGCCCACCAAGGCUACUAUGGGUAGCUGGUCUGAGAGGAUGAUCAGCCACACUGGGACUGAGAUGCGGCCCAGACUCCUACGGGAGGCAGC
rnacentral:rRNA from 1 species